CACCUCCCUCCUUUUUCCUAGCUUGUAUUGCUGAGCAGAAAUAUGGCAUGGAAUAUCCCUUUGGCCAGUUUGGAUCAGCUGUCCUGACUAUGUUCCCUCCCAGCCUCUUGCCUACUCCCAGGUUACAUGCUUGGGAGCCAGUGUGGUUGGAUUGUCAUCUUGGUGCUGUGGGAUCACUGCCCAGGAGUAGCCAAAAUGUUGGUGUGCUAUUUUCUUCAGGAUGAGACGAACCUUGGUCUGAGACUGCCUGAUGUGGACUGCAACAAAGAAGAUUGAUCCACUGAAUAGAUCAAACUUCUGGAUCACUAAUGGAUUUACCUUCCAAAUAUUCUUGAAGAGGUCAGAGUCCCUGGUGCAUAUUCUGCACUGCUGGCUGCCUGCAGGGUUUCUUACCACAGCUGGCCACAGUCUUUGUCAAACACAGAAUUUUGGACCAGCAGCAUUUUGGACUACUCUGAUGAUAAUGCUUGAAUUCCCAUGGAAUGUACUGGAAAGCAUAAAAGAACUCACACCAAUUUUUAUCUGAAGGGAUAGGAGUUUUCUGGGAUUGCUCAUUGUAAAACAUUGUAAAAUAGAAAACAAUCAUAUCAAGGAAGAAAAUAUUCCGGUAUACCUUCCAACCGCUACAAAACGGCAUCUUAAAUGAAUUGCAGAUUUGAACCCCAAAACAGGAAGGACUGGGAGUUACACAUUCAGCUCUGUGGACAAAAAAGGGACAGGACAUUUGCUCUAUUAAUUCUAUGGCCAUUCUGUUUCUGCAGUGACAGCUGUAGAAGGCUUUUCAGAUUCUUAAAGGGUCCAGUCAGAAGUGAAUACUUUGAGAGGAAAAUUAAUUACAAGUAUCCCCCUGCCUAUUAUAAAUAACGUGGACCUAACUUCCUGAAAAGGAUACAUGAAAUCCCCCCCUCCUGUUCUGAUAUUGCUUAAAUUACAAUAAUGUUCAGGGUUGUAAGAAGCCAAUGGAUUGAAUACAGUGAUUUCCUGAACUCUCAAUUCUAAUUAAAAUUCUGCAGGCUGACAACAUAAAAUACGAGUCAAAGUAAUAAUCCAAGGUCAUUUUUGUGCUGCACAAAGUAACUUAUUUGAAGUGUCAUGCUGAUUAGGAAUAUCUAGCAGAGAACACAUGGUCCUUCUCUGUGCUUGUAUUUGUGUGAUUUAUUAGCUUGAAGGAUAACCUUCCACCAUUGUCAAACAGACUUUGUCAAAGGAGAAAAAAGAUAUUUUGAAGUCUGAUCACGAACCUGAGCACCACAAAAAAAAUUCCUCACAAUUGGGCAUUAAUAAAAGAUUUUUCUGUUCUCUAUUUAUUAAUAAU
rnacentral:lncRNA from 1 species